CGCUACUGGCGCAGCAGGGGCGAAAGCUUAGCAAAUUGAGAAAGCAAGGCAAGGAGAAUCCGAGUGGUAGCUGCUAAAUGAUCCUGGACAGAUCUAAGCCACUGUGAAUACUUCAC
rnacentral:rRNA from 1 species